rnacentral:lncRNA from 1 species
CCUUUUCUCCAUUGCUUAUUCAAUCAUUUUUAAACAACAUGACUAGAUUAAUUAUCAAUCUUUUCCCACCAAUGUUUUCAUCAAAGGUCUUCAAUGGCUUUCCACUGACAAGAGUUAUGUUCAAGCUCCUUCCUCUGACAUUCAAGACCCCAACAACGUGGUGACCAUUACUGCCUGCUUUCUUCUCAAAUAAAAUGACAGGUGCAGACGUGGUUUCUAAAAACCGCAAGUUGCUUUCUAGGCAAACUUUCCUCUCUCCAGGCGGUUGCUGUGUGAUGUUCACUUCAAGAAAGUCUUUUCAGGUAACAGUUUACAGACAAAUAAUAAUGAGGGAUUCUGAGCUUCCAUAGCCAUUCUAAAAUCACAUAUUCGUCAGAGG